UACGUAGGGUGCGAGCGUUAAUCGGAAUUACUGGGCGUAAAGCGUGCGCAAGCGGUUCGUUAAGUUCGUUGUGAAAGCCCCGGGCUCAACCUGGGAACUGCAAUGGAAACUGGCGGGCUUGAGUGUGGCAGAGGGGGGUGGAAUUCCGCGUGUAGCAGUGAAAUGCGUAGAGAUGCGGAGGAACACCGAUGGCGAAGGCAGCCCCCUGGGCCAACACUGACGCUCAGGCACGAAAGCGUGGGGAGCAAACAGG
rnacentral:rRNA from 1 species